rnacentral:lncRNA from 1 species
GUACUUAAAAGUAAUGCAUUAGGGUUUUAACCAAAAGGCAAAAACAAUUGAUUAAACCCUAAAUUAUAGUUUUAUUGGCAUUACCCAAAUAAUUUAGUUCAAAAUAUUUAUUUCUCUCUCCCAAAGGACAGAGGAUGAUUAAACAAAAUUUUAGGCACUGGUUUCAAUUAAAAAGGAUUUCUAAAUACAUAGUUAUGAUUUAAAUGGCAUAAAACUCAAAUCUGUAAUUUGAAUGUGAUUAAAAUAUUCAAAUUUGAAAUUGGACAGUGCCAAAAGAUUCUACACUUCCUAAGGAUUCAAAAAAGGUGUGGAUCGUGAAAUUUGGACAAGUGGUUUAAAAGUUAUGACGGUUUGAAACACUGGGGGCUUUUCUGCAAAUGUGCACUUUUAUUUCGGCCGAGAAAAUAAAAAAAACUAAAAAAAAUGAACCUGCCACGU